rnacentral:snRNA from 1 species
AAAAGAAGCUUCUGUAGGCACAUGUAGGGCAACUUGAUUGCUGUGCAUGAGGAAUCAACCUUAAGAAAUUUCAGAAGAGUAAUUUUUUGGUACAUGGACAGCUGGUAAUCAUUGCUCUUGAGGCCCU